rnacentral:rRNA from 1 species
GACGAACGCUGGCGGCGUGCUUAACACAUGCAAGUCGAACGGAAAGGCCCUGCUUUUGUGGGGUGCUCGAGUGGCGAACGGGUGAGUAACACGUGAGUAACCUGCCCUUGACUUUGGGAUAACUUCAGGAAACUGGGGCUAAUACCGGAUAUGAGCUCCUGCUGCAUGGUGGGGGUUGGAAAGUUUCGGCGGUUGGGGAUGGACUCGCGGCCUAUCAGCUUGUUGGUGGGGUAGUGGCGUACCAAGGCUUUGACGGGUAGCCGGCCUGAGAGGGUGACAGGCCACAUUGGGACUGAGAUACGGCCCAGACUCCUACGGGAGGCAGCAGUGGGGAAUAUUGCACGAUGGGCGGAGGCCUGAUGCAGCAACGCCGCGUGCGGGAUGACGGCCUUCGGGUUGUAACCCGCUUUCGCCUGUGACGAAGCGUGAGUGACGGUAAUGGGUAAAGAAGCACCGGCUAACUACGUG